GCGAUUAGGUCCAAAUCGUUAAGAAAAAUUAGGGAGCUGUUAGGCACUCGCCUAGGCGCUCUUAGGUGGCUUGGGCGGUCUAGGCCCUUUUUAAAUUUGUACCAAUUUUCUUUUCAGUUUUAAUUUGUAUCCAUAUAUUAAUUUCUUUUUGUGCCCAUAUUUUUUAAAGUUUUAUUUGUAUUUAUACCCAUAUUUUUUUUAAUUUUUUUUAUUUUGCCAAAUGUACCCAUGUUAAUUAUAUGUACCCAUUCAUGUAUUUUUUUCAAAAUUUUAAUCUAAAAUGUACUCAUUCUUAAAUAUACCAAUUUGUUAUAUGUAAAAUGUACCAUUUUUUUAUAUACAAAAUCUAUUCAAUUUUUUUCUAAUCCAUUUUUAAACUUAUAUGGGUACAUUCUUUUUUCUUUGAUUUUAAAAUGUAUCCAUGUCAAGUUUAAUAAAAAAUUUACUAAUGUUAUUAAGCCUAAUAUCUUGUUUUUUCCUUGAUUUUGAAGAAUGUACCCAUGUUUUGAUACAAUAAUUUUUUGGUUAAUUUUGAUGAAUGUACCCAUGUUUACACACACACAUACACACACACACACACACAAUAGUAUAUUUAUAUUUUAAUAUUUUUAAUCCCACAAAUGUUGGUUUUUUUAUUUAAAAUCUCAUUUAUAUAAAAAACUAAAUUUUUUUAAUUUUAAUUUAAAAAAUAUAGUAACAGACAUAGAAAUAAAUUAUCACAUUAAUUUCAAGGACUUCGAUCAAAAAUUGAAAACCAACAAGGUUUCAAUCAAAGAAUAUUCGCAUCCAAAGUCUCCUUUUUUUUUUUAAUUAGAGAGAGAUAAAAUCACCUGUAAAAUGAGGUUUAAACAAAAAUAGUAAAAUUUUGUUUGUGAAAUUACAUUACUAUCGUGACCGAAGAUAAAAAUAUCUUUUCAGCGUUUUUUGGUUGACAAGAUGAUUUAAUAUGUAGUUUAGAUAUUCAAUCAUUAUUAAUUUUAGAAUUAAGGGAUAAAUUUGUUAGGGAAAAAAAAGCUGAUGUGGACAUUGAGUUAUCGGGCCUAACCUAAACUACUGAAUUAUACCUAAUAAUUGUUCACAAAAUUGAAAUUAUAUCAAGUUUACGAUUUUUUUUUCUUUUUUUAUGUGUUGUAAACAAUGUAACUUCUUUGAAAAAUACAUAUCUUUUUUUUCAAGGUAAUAAAGGAUUUCAUUCAUAACAGGCGAAAAGAACCAAUAAAGAGGAAGCAUGGAAAAUACAGAUCUUAUACAUCUAAUUCUUUUAUAUUGUUUGCCAAAAAAAAAAUUCUUUUAUAUUUACUCCAAAAAACAAAAAAUUAAGAAAAAUAUAUUUUUCUGUUAGGGUAGAUUACACAAAACUAUCUUAAGUAUGAGUCAAAUCACAAUCUCACAUCUCAUAUUUUAAAAAGUACAAUGUCAUACCUCAUUUUACGAAUUUGUUGUAAUGUCAUAUCUCCGUCAGUUUUUCUAUCAAUUUUUUUGUUAAAUGCUGAGGUGCUUAAAGCAGGCUUACUUCUUGGCCCAACUAGAUUAAAAAUUUAAUUAAAAAUAUAAAGAAUAAAAAAUAUUUAAAUAUUUUUAUUUUAAAAUGUGGGACCCACCAUCUACAAUUAAAAUUAAAAUCAUCCUUCUUCCCCAUUCUACCCGACAACAACAACCUCGCCCAUCUCCAGGCACCUCGACCUCACCCAUUUUCGGGCACCCCAACCUCACCCAUCUACUGUGCAACUCCAAAACGCCCUUCGCCACCAUCCCAUGACCUCCACCCUUCUCACCACCACCACCUUAAAGUUAACACUGCAAAACCCAUCUCUGUCAAAUGCUCAACCACCACCACCCACAUCCAAGGAUAGUGGGCUAUCAUGGCUAACUGGGAUUUAAUAGAAAAUGAGUAAUGGGUGGGCUAUUGGCUAACGGUGGAAAGGAUAGUGGGAUUUUCUUGUUGUUGUUGUUGUUGUUAUUAUUAUGUCGUUACAGCUUAAGAAAUUUCAGCCAUCUCCUCUGCAACUCCUAACCAGGAAGCAAGAGUCACUAUUUGCAUGCGAAGUUGAAGACCCAGUGUUUAGGCGAGAUUUUAGCCUUGGCAUAGCUCCCUUGCGAGGUUGGCACUUUGGGUGAAUGUGUUGGUGUCUGCUGGCUUCUUGCUGCUUGGUGUACUACAAGAAGAAUAUAAAGUUAGUUUUGAGAGGUGCCUUUGUGGGGCCUUAGAUGUAGGCAUUAAGACUCGCAAUCAAAACUAACAAAGAGCUUGGGGUGCCACUGUUAUCUCAGUAUAACAGAUGUAGAACAUAUUUGGUUUAAAUCGAUUACUUGCACCCUAAGUUACUCAAACUUCUUAUCAUCAAAGGAUUGUCACAUAUAGGUUAUGUCUGCAUUAAGUUCUUUUUCUUGCCUUGUAAACAAGGACUUUUAGUCCAUGAUCUUGUAAAUUCAAAUGAAGGGAGUUCAUAGCCCUUUAAACCAUUUGCUUGAUUCCAGGUUGUUCUUAAUGAAAAUAGGUUUAUUAAGUUAACUAGAUCUGGAUGCAAAUAGGACUCUUUGGUAGAAAGUAAUUGGAAAUAACUUGAAUACAUUCUAAAAAAUACAUUUAGAGGACAUAUCUACUAAUUAUAGGACAAACAAAGAGAUUCAGGCAAGAUUUCACCUUGUUUGGCAAGGUUGAACUUCUUGCAGCCACUUCUCUUUGAGUUUACAAAGGUUGUACACUAAAAGGGAUGGAUGGUAAACAGGUUUUACACAAGGGAAUCGAUAUUACCACACUAGAGAAGAUAGCAAAGUUUUUACACUAGACAAAAGAUGGCUUUUCUUAGGA
rnacentral:lncRNA from 1 species